rnacentral:tRNA from 2 species
UGAGCUUUAAGUUAUAAAAACUAUCAGCCUUCCAAGCUAGAAAAAAGACACUCUUAGGCUUAA